UACGAAGGGGGCUAGCGUUGCUCGGAAUCACUGGGCGUAAAGGGUGCGUAGGCGGGUCUUUUAAGUCAGGGGUGAAAUCCUGGAGCUCAACUCCAGAACUGCCUUCGAUACUGGCGAUCUCGAGUUCGGGAGAGGUGAGUGGAACUGCGAGUGUAGAGGUGAAAUUCGUAGACAUUCGCAAGAACACCAGUGGCGAAGGCGGCUACA
rnacentral:rRNA from 1 species